UACGGAGGAUCCGAGCGUUAUCCGGAAUUAUUGGGUUUAAAGGGUGCGUAGGCGGCUUUUUAAGUCAGCGGUGAAAUUUUGCAGCUUAACUGUAAAAGUGCCUUCGAAACUGGUUUCCUUGAGUGUAGAUGAAGUAGGCGGAAUUUGUGGUGUAGCGGUGAAAUGCAUAGAUAUCACGAGGAACUCCGAUUGCGCAGGCAGCUUACUAAACUACUACUGACGCUCAGGCACGAAGGCGUGGGGAUCAAACAGGAUUAGAUACCCUGGUAGUCCCU
rnacentral:rRNA from 1 species